UUUCAUUAAGAAAUUUGAAAUUAUUAAAAUUAUUUAAAUAUAGUCAAUAAUAAAAAUUGUGUUUUGCUUCGAAGCUAAUGGUGUGGGUAGAGACGAAAAGAAAUUAACGAUGAAAAGCUUUUUUCCACAGUUGAAUAUAUAUAUAUUUUUUAAAUAUAUGUUUUUCAAUUUAUUGUUUUGUUUUAAUGUUUUAAAACUAUACAACAAAAAAUGGGAAAUAAGCUAAAAAUCUAUAUUAAAAAAUUAUUUUCAAUAUUCAUUAUUGAAUUCCCAGAAAUCCUGUCAUCAAAAUUUAUUUUGUACUUAAUAUGCCCACUAUGCUAUAGUUAUAAAAAAUAUAAAAAAAUUGAAUUUCGUUCUAAUAUUAACUGAGUAUUUUGAAAUUAUGAAUUUUUCGUUGUUUUGUAGAUUUUGCUCUAAUUAUAGCAGAGAUUAACGGAAAAUAAAAAACAUUUUUGACAAAAUUGAUACGCUAGUUGGUAAUAAAAAGUGCUUUUAUUGAAAAUACACCGAAAAAAUAAUUUUGAAUAUUAUUACAAAAUAUAAAAAAUAAUAGUACAAAAAAUAUAACACAAACUAUAAAUGCAGCCCAUAGCCAAAAUGAUGCAUUCCCAAAAAUCAUGGUAAUAGAAACUUUUUUUAUAUAUAUUUUUUAUAAAUGGUGUACGAACACCCUUUAUGGUUGUUUGGCCGAGCUCGUCCUCCUAUUUGUGGCGUGCGUCUUGAUGUUGUUCCACAAAUAGAGGGACCUACAGUUUUACGCCGACUCCGAGCGGCAGAUAUUUUUUAUGAAGAGCUUUUGCAUGGCAGAAAUGCUCUCGGAGGUUUGCCAUUGACUGCCGAAAGGCGAUCGGUAUUAGAAAAAAACUUUUUCUUUAUUUUUGUCUUUCACCGAGA